rnacentral:rRNA from 1 species
AGAUUGAACGCUGGCGGCAUGCUUUACACAUGCAAGUCGAACGGCAGCACGGGUGCUUGCACUUGGUGGCGAGUGGCGAACGGGUGAGUAAUACAUCGGAACGUGUCCUGAAGUGGGGGAUAACGCAUCGAAAGAUGUGCUAAUACCGCAUAUUCUCUGAGGAGGAAAGUAGGGGAUCGAAAGACCUUAUGCUUUUGGAGCGGCCGAUGUCUGAUUAGCUAGUUGGUGGGGUAAUGGCCUACCAAGGCGACGAUCAGUAGUUGGUCUGAGAGGACGACAGCCACACGUGGACUGAGACCACGGCCCAGACUCCGUAACGGGAGGCCAGCAGGUGGGAAUUUUGGACAAGUGGGACGCAAAGCCUAGAUCCCAGCAAUGCCGCGUGAGUAGAAGAGGCC